rnacentral:rRNA from 1 species
GGACAGGUGGUGCAUGGUUGUCGUCAGCUCGUGUCGUGAGAUGUGGGUUAAGUCCCGCAACGAGCGCAACCCUCGACCUUAGUUGCCAGCAUUCAGUUGGGCACUCUAAGGUGACUGCCGGCUAAAAGUCGGAGGAAGGUGGGGAUGACGUCAAAUCAUCAUGCCCCUUAUGACCUGGGCUACACACGUGCUACAAUGGGCGGUACAAAGGGUCGCGAACCCGCGAGGGGGAGCCAAUCCCAAAAAGCCGCUCUCAGUUCGGAUUGCAGGCUGCAACUCGCCUGCAUGAAGCCGGAAUCGCUAGUAAUCGCGGAUCAGCAUGCCGCGGUGAAUACGUUCCCGGGCCUU